CUGAUGCAAUUCACUUCAUCCAUACAACACAACCAUUGCAAGAACUCUCCUUCAGUCUACUAAGUUUCAUAUUUUGGUGAAAUUGGUAAAAUAAUAAACAAAAGUUUGAGCUUUAAUCCGAAUCAUCCUCAUCCAUCGAAAACAAGAAAAUACACUUGCUUCUCUGUUCGCUACGGACUUGAUGAAAUCGGGCAGAAAAUGAGGCGAUUUGGAACUUCGUUGCGGACCUGAAUCGAGUCGGUAAAGUGGUAAAGCUUGCUGUUUUUAGCCCCUUUGAUUUUGCUCUUGAUGCGUUGUGAAAUUUGAUGUUCUAUCAAUCUCGUUGAAAUGAUAAACGCUUUGCCUUUUUCUGCUCUUUCAAUUUUAUUUCUUCAAAUUGUCAUUUAACAAUUUUUUUUUCUUUGUUUUGAAAAUUGUGGAUCCGGUUCAUACUAUUACUGAACAAGCAAGAAAAACUAGCAAAAAGUUACGUUCUUCUCGAGGAAUUUGAGAAACACAGAGUCGAAGAUGAGGUAUUAUUAUUAUUUAGUUUUUGGAUAUUUUAAUUUUUCCUUGAAUUUAGAUUUUUCUCAUUUUGUAAUGCAGUUUCAUCGAUUGGUUGUAAAUAGGGAUCUCAAAUUCACCAACUUUGUGGAGGUUAGCUAAACUCAGGGGGACGCAGAAAUUUUACAUUAGG
rnacentral:lncRNA from 1 species